CCUACGGGAGGCAGCAGUAGGGAAUCUUCCGCAAUGGAAGAAAGUCUGACGGAGCAACGCCGCGUGAGUGAUGAAGGCUUUCGGGUCGUAAAACUCUGUUGUUAGGGAAGAACAAGUGCUAGUUGAAUAAGCUGGCACCUUGACGGUACCUAACCAGAAAGCCACGGCUAACUUCGUGCCAGCAGCCGCGGUAAUACGUAGGUGGCAAGCGUUAUCCGGAAUUAUUGGGCGUAAAGCGCGCGCAGGUGGUUUCUUAAGUCUGAUGUGAAAGCCCACGGCUCAACCGUGGAGGGUCAUUGGAAAUUGGGAGACUUGAGUGCAGAAGAGGAAAGUGGAAUUCCAUGUGUAGCGGUGAAAUGCGUANAGAUAUGGAGGAACACCAGUGGCGAAGGCGACUUUUUGGUCUGUAACUGACCCUGAGGCGCGAAAGCGUGGGGAGCAAACAGGAUUAGAUACCCUGGUAGUCCCCGCCGUAAACGAUGAGUGCUAAGUGUUAGAGGGUUUCCGCCCUUUAGUGCUGAAGUUAACGCAUUAAGCACUCCGCCUGGGGAGUACGGCCGCAAGGCUGAAACUCAAAGGAAUUGACGG
rnacentral:rRNA from 1 species